rnacentral:rRNA from 1 species
GACGAACGCUGGCGGCGUGCUUAACACAUGCAAGUCGAACGGAAAGGCCCUGCUUUUGUUGGGUGCUCGAGUGGCGAACGGGUGAGUAACACGUGAGUAACCUGCCCUUGACUUUGGGAUAACUUCAGGAAACUGGGGCUAAUACCGGAUAUGAUCUCCUGCUGCAUGGUGGGGGUUGGAAAGUUUCGGCGGUUGGGGAUGGACUCGCGGCUUAUCAGCUUGUUUGUGUGGUAGUGGCUUACCAAGGCUUUGACGGGUAGCCGGCCUGAGAGGGUUACCGGGCACAAUGGGACUGAGAUACGGACCAGAAGGGUACGGGAGGCAGCAGUGGAGAAUAUUGCGGAAUGGGGGGAAGCGUGAUGCAGAAACGCCGAGAGCGGGAUGACGGCCUACGGGUUGAAAACAGCUGUCGCAUGUGACGAAGCGGGAGUGACGGUAAUGGGUAAAGAAGCAACGGCUAACUACGUG